AAUUUCAGUUUUGUUUUUAUGUGUUAUAUGAAUAUUAACAUCCUGUAACUAAUUGUAAUAACAAAUCUUAUAGGUAUAAAUUGCAUUUAGUUGUGCUUGAUAACACAAGCAACACAAAACUAAUGGUGUUCGAUAGUCUUGCUGUGCAACUGGUAAACAAGCCAUGCUUGCAGAUUGCUGGUCCGUCAGAAAAAGUCGAGGUAGUGAUUCAGAUCCUAUAGAUCAUAUUUAAACGUUUAAGACCCGCGCCUUACAUCUCUGUUAACUUAAAUAUAAAGUACUUUCUUCUUUAUCUCAAUGUAGAUUGAGGAAACCAAUGUGCUGCCUCCGGUUCUUAACACCAUCAUUGGCAAAACGUGCUUAUUCAAAAUUCAAAUCGAGAGGGAGAACUUUGUCUACAAACAUGAUACCUACAAGGUUUUGAAGGUGAUCACUAACAAAGAUUUGAUCAAAGAUUUUGAAGAAAGCAACUGUCGAGAUGGAAGCGAAGGUGUAUUUCAUGAUAUGGAUACUCAAUCCGAUGCACCAGAGGUUUGUGGCCAUCCUUACUUAGUUGGCGAUCCGUAAUAGAUCCGUAAUAGAUUUGCUAUAACACAUAUGUCAUGGGUUUUUUUUUAAUUUACAUUUGGUUAAUAUCGGCAGGCCUCUCUUGCUAAUCAAGGUUCAGCUUCUGAGCAGUUUGAGUCUGACGAUCUGACUCCUGCUAAACGUGUUAGGGCAGUCGAUAUUGAAUUGGAAGAAAUCAAUGACCAGAAUUCUGUUACGAGGAGUACCGGUUCCAUGAUGAUUAAGAAGGAGAAGUUUGCUAAAAGUGGCUGAAGUGGGUACAAUGCUUUCUUAUAAGAUAGAGGCUUCUGCUUUUGUUUAACUAUGUUUUCGCAACUUCUAAGUUUUAUGUUAGUUUUUUUAAAUAUUUAUGUUGUGUUUUUCAUAUUCGAUACUUAUGUUGGUGUUUUAUAAUUAAUGGCAAGCCUCUUUUGUUUCAAUAUGGUUGCAUAAAAUUGUUUUUUUUUUGACGGUGCAAAGUUCUGCUUAUAUAUUAGUAUCUAUAAACAAGAAAUUUUUCUUUAUUGUUCCAUAAUCACUAAACAACGCUUCAUAUGCUCUCCGGUUUUUAGUCCUAUCUACCAUUGUCAGUUCCGCACCUGAAUCUAUUUUCCCGUAAUUUUAUAAAACUUACAAGUUGUGCUUCCAAUGAACGGAUUUAGGAGAUUCAGUCAAUUGUAGAUAAGAGUCCAACUCAACAUCAAUACGGUUGCCCUUCACUAAGAGGAUUAGUCCUGCAUAAAAAUAAGUUAUAAGAAACGAAGGCAAUAUGAUACAAAUUUUUUGUUAACUCAACCUUACGUUAUAAAUGUUUUCUACA